rnacentral:rRNA from 1 species
CAGCCGCCGCGGUAAUACGUAGGUGGCAAGCGUUGUCCGGAAUUAUUGGGCGUAAAGGGCUCGCAGGCGGUUUCUUAAGUCUGAUGUGAAAGCCCCCGGCUCAACCGGGGAGGGUCAUUGGAAACCGGGAAACUUGAGUGCAGAAGAGGAGUGUGGAAUUCCACGUGUAGCGGUGAAAUGCGUAGAGAUGUGGAGGAACACCAGUGGCGAAGGCGACUCUCCGGUCUGUAACUGACGCUGAGGAGCGAAAGCGUGGGGAGCGAACAGGAUUAGAUACCCCGGUAGUCCCUGUCUCUUAUAC